rnacentral:lncRNA from 14 species
GCUUUUCUGCAUCCAAUCUAAGCACUCUGCUUACUCCUAUCUCAUCAGAUGAUCUUUACCCUGAGGAAAGAGCGAGGAACCAAAUGACAGCUGCGGCUUUUCAAAGUCAUAAAAGAGGGAAAUAUGUGCCCAGAGAUACACCUCAGCUGCCUUGAGGUACAUGCCUCUGUGACCUGCAACUUGCUGAGGCAUCUUGCAUGCAGGAAUCUGUACUUAAUCCUGCCAGGACAUUGCUGCUGGUUUUCCCCACAUUGCAAAGCCACUGCUUGGAAUUGCCUUAACUUUGGAAGCUGUCCUGCUGAUGAAUGUGUGGUUUGUUGACAACUAUGUGAAAUGAUACCUUGAUCAAGAUCUCCAAGCAAGGCACUGCAAUGCAGGCAGGUAAAGCAACGAUGCUGAAAAUGAGCCACUUUGCACCAGAGCAGAUAGGGGGAGAUUGGGUGACUAAUUCUACUUCUGCACAAUAAGCUGCCUUU